AGAGUUUGAUCCUGGCUCAGAACGAACGCUGGCGGCGUGCUUAACACAUGCAAGUCGCGUGCGCAGUCCGUAGCAAUACGGGUGGGCGCACGGCGCACGGGUGCGUAACACGUGGGCAAUCUGCCCUCCGAUGGGGAAUAACCCCGCGAAAGCGGGGCUAAUUCCGCAUAACAUUCCUUGGACACCGGUCCGAGGAUUCA
rnacentral:rRNA from 1 species